GUGCUCACUUUGGCAGCACAUAUACUAAAAUUGGAACAAUACAGAGAAAAUUAGCAUGGCCCCUGCACAAGAAUAAUACACAAAUUUGUGAAGCAUUCCAUAUUUUU
ensembl:snRNA U6 U6 spliceosomal RNA